rnacentral:rRNA from 1 species
CAGAGGGUGCAAGCGUUGCUCGGAAUCAUUGGGCGUAAAGGGCAAGUAGGUGGUCUCAUUUGUCUAGGGUGAAAUCCUUGAGCUUAACUCAAGAAGUGCCCUAGAAACGGUGAGACUCGAGUACUGGAGAGGGUCGUGGAAUUCCCGGUGUAGCGGUGAAAUGCGUAGAGAUCGGGAGGAACACCAGAGGCGAAGGCGGCGACCUGGACAGUUACUGACACUCAACUGCGAAAGCGUGGGGAGCAAACAGGAUUAGAUACCCUGGUAGUCCACGCUGUAAACGAUGGGAACUAGGUUUGAUGGGUCUUGACCCCCGUCGAACCGGCGCUAACGCACUAAGUUCCCCGCCUGGGAAGUACGGUCGCAAGACUA